UACGGGGGGGGCAAGCGUUGUUCGGAAUUACUGGGCGUAAAGGGCUCGUAGGCGGCCAACUAAGUCGGACGUGAAAUCCCCAGGCUCAACCUGGGAACUGCGUCUGAUACUGGAUGGCUUGAAUCCGGGAGAGGGAUGCAGAAUUCCAGGUGUAGCGGUGAAAUGCGUAGAUAUCGAGAGGAACACCUGCGGCGAAGGCGGGUAGCUGGGCCGACACUGACGCUGAUGCGCGAAAGCCAGGGGAGCGAACGGG
rnacentral:rRNA from 1 species